UAGGGAAUCUUCCGCAAUGGGCGAAAGCCUGACGGAGCAACGCCGCGUGAGUGAUGAAGGUCUUCGGAUCGUAAAACUCUGUUAUUAGGGAAGAACAAAUGUGUAAGUAACUAUGCACGUCUUGACGGUACCUAAUCAGAAAGCCACGGCUAACUACGUGCCCGCAGCCGCGGUAAUACGUAGGUGGCAAGCGUUAUCCGGAAUUAUUGGGCGUAAAGCGCGCGUAGGCGGUUUUUUAAGUCUGAUGUGAAAGCCCACGGCUCAACCGUAGAGGGGCAUUGGAAACUGGAAAACUUGAGUGCAGAAGAGGAAAGUGGAAUUCCAUGUGUAGCGGUGAAAUGCGCAGAGAUAUGGAGGAACACCAAUGGCGAAGGCGACUUUCUGGUCUGUAACUGACGCUGAUGUGCGAAAGCGUGGGGAUCAAACAGG
rnacentral:rRNA from 1 species